UCGGGAAUUUUGGGCAAUGGGCGAAAGCCUGACCCAGCAACGCCGCGUGAAGGAUGAAGUAUUUCGGUAUGUAAACUUCGAAAGAAUAGGAAGAAUAAAUGACGGUACUAUUUAUAAGGUCCGGCUAACUACGUGCCAGCAGCCGCGGUAAUACGUAGGGCCCAAGCGUUGUUCGGAUUUACUGGGCGUAAAGGGCGCGUAGGCGGCAAUUCAAGUCAUCUGUGAAAUCUCCGGGCUUAACUCGGAACGGUCAGAUGAUACUGCUUUGCUAGAGUGCAGAAGGGGCAAUCGGAAUUCUUGGUGUAGCGGUGAAAUGCGUAGAUAUCAAGAGGAACACCUGAGGUGAAGACGGGUUGCUGGGCUGACACUGACGCUGAGGCGCGAAAGCCAGGGGAGCAAACGGGAUUAGAUACCCAUGUAGUCCCUGAGCGGGCUGGCAAGGCGCAU
rnacentral:rRNA from 1 species